AAUGAACGCUGGCGGCAUGGAUUAGGCAUGCAAGUGGAACGGGCACUUCGGUGUCAGUCGCGAAAGGGUGAGUAACGCGUGAGCAAUCUGCCCCCAAGUUUGGAAUAACUUCUGGAAACGGGAGCUAAUACCGGAUGUGGUCAUUUUAAGGCAUCUUGAGAUGACUAAAGAUUUAUUGCUUGGGGAUGAGCUCGCGUCCCAUUAUGCUAGUUGGUAAGGUAACGGCUUACCAAGGCUAUGACGGGUAGGUGGUCUGAGAGGAUGGUCACCCACACUGGAACUGAGAUACUGUCCAG
rnacentral:rRNA from 1 species